CCGUAGUCAGGCACAAAAACACACGCGUACACACACGCAUGUGUAUCUGUUUAUACUUCUUCGCCUCAUAAUACACACUUAUACAAGUGCCUCUGUGCGUGUGUGUGUGUGCCCGUUGCACUGCUUGUCGGUGACGAGGGAGAAGGCAACGGAGGAGGGUUGAAGGGGUGUAACCACGCCCAACGAAGAAUGGGUCCUUUAUGUAGACAUGAGGAGGCAGCAUCACCGCGGGAGAGAGGGAGGGAGGGAAAGGCCACAAUGAGCGGCGCCGUGACGUGGAUGACGCCUCACAUAUUUCUUUCCUCUUUUUUUUGUGUGUUCUUCUGUUUUACUCCUUCUCUAUGCUCGCUCUGUGUCUCCCCCCUCCCCUCUCUUUUCCCUCCGCUUCCCUCUGGGCAGCGCUGUGUGGACUCGCACGCGGGCGAGGACGAGGCAGCCGUGCCUCUGCUCCUCCUUUUUCGGCUUCUCCUUCAACACGGAGGAUGAGACAGUCGAGUUAAUCAGCGGAGGAGGCACGUAAUUUGGACGGCGAGGGCAGAGGAGCUGGCGGGCAUGCGUGGUGGAGAUAGCAACUGCGUCACCUGGGGCCGAUGCAGACGUGCGAGGUGGAGGAGCGGAGCCCAUUCGAUCCCGCAGAAGGAGCACAUGAACGAUGAACAGAGCCACAGAGACAUCUUUAGAGCGCAAUAUUUGGCGAAUCGGAAGUCAUAUCCACGCACAAGGGUACACACAUGCUCGCGUAAGUUCCGGCGCAUCCGGGAAGAUGAAGUGUCUCGGUGUGCUGUUGGUAGCUGAACCGUGGCGUUGGACCGCGUUAACGGGCAUACUGAGAUGCCUUAUCCACCUACACUUCUCUCUCUCGUUUCUUGUUUCCUUUUCUUUUCUGGUGGUGGGUUGUUUGCUACCCACAGGCGUUGUCAUUGCUGCCGCUUUUGUUCCUCUGCUUGCUGUGCUGGUGAUAUCUCCUUCGCGGGCUCUCUCGUGCGCGUUCGCGUUGAUGUCAGUGUUGCCUUUUUACGUUUUUGUUUGCCUCCCUUCUCUUUGAUGUAUGCGCAUGGUGGAGAGCCUUAUGGCAGUGCUUCGUGAAUCCGCAAACAUCUGCGUACGUCUCUCGAUGCCUUUUUUUUGUUUGCACCUCGAUGCCGGUGCCUCGACGUGGCUGUGCGCUUUCGUGUGCUUCCUCCUCCUCUUUCGAGUGGUUUUUCCAUGCAGCGCAUACUGCGCUGCGCCGUUGCCUUCAUUAUUACUUUCCACUCUGGCUUCCUUUAUGCGUUUUUGGUUGUGUUUCAUUUUGUUCAAGUGCUUCUCCAUCUUCGUUUUCGCACUCAUGACACGUCUUUUCAUGUCACGGUCGCCAAGCGAUACCACCUUUCGAAGUUGCGUAUGGAGAGGCCUGCUCCUGAGAGGGUGGUUUCCACUGGUGCUGCUGAUCCGGCGAACCCACCCCGCCCAUUUUUGCGCUCCACCGCUGCCGUGGCAAAAAGGGGCAGGAAGAAAAAAAACUUUGUGGCACUUGCGGGUCGCGCUUUAGCCGCUGAAAAAAU
rnacentral:misc_RNA from 1 species